rnacentral:lncRNA from 1 species
GCUGACAUGUUCACCAGCCCGUCUAAACCAUUCAGGAACAUUGGGCUUGGGUCUCUGUAAGCACAAGAAUGACAGCAUACAUCAAUAUUCUUGUCUCUCAGUCAGGGGACUAAUAUGCACUUUUUGAGAUUGUAUAACAAAUAAAGCCUUUGUUAGGUGGCUGUUAAGCAAAGUUUAAAAAUUGCUUUAUUGACUUGAAGUACCAAAUUCAUAAAGAUUAACAUGUCGAUCUAUUCAAAAUUAAUAAUUCACAUUGACAUGAUAGAUGUGUGUAUUCAGUUCACAUACUACCCUCAUACUGUAUGGAAAAAGCAUGGGGUUCUCUAAGAGUCAAAUUAAACAGUGCUUAGCAUAACAUGAUUACAAACAGGUACUGUCUAAAACCUGCAAAUGCGUACAUUUUCCAACACCCCCCAUUCUCAUUCUUUAUUCCAAAAUUUCAUUUACUUCAUUAACAACUGUUUAGAGUUUUAUGAAGACAUUGUAACAUAUUUCAUGGGGAACUGACUUAAAAUGUUUGGGUCUUUAAUAGUAAAUUUACUAUUGAUCAAUGUCUGAAAUACCAAAGCAAAACAAAGUCCUCUUGAAAACAGUACAUUUAAUGGUCAUCUGGAGAAGGGAAAGUAGUGGGCACUUCAUGCUCUGGGGAGAUUUAAAAAUAAGACUUCAAGCACUGACUAUGGGGACACCCUCAUAUUCUGAAUUUUCAAACCCAAUUUACAUAUAUACCUACUUAAAAAACACACCCACAAGUAAAAAACUGGUCAUUUGUUUACAAAGUGCAGUGUUUGAAUCCAGCAAGUUCAAAGACACAAUGCGGCUUCUCUGCUGCAGAACUCCAUGUCCAUUUAGUUGUGCUGCACAGCACAUCACACUGUAAUGAAGCCUGGCCCUAACACCGGCCAGUAAUGGCAGCUUAGCAAGCACGAGACCUGGAAAGUCUGCUCAUGGUCCAGUAAGUACAUUGUUUAUGACCAGUAAGGUACAUCAUAUGACCUGGUGUCAGUAAUCCCAACACACAUUACUACUCUGUAAUGAAUUCUGUAAGGUUUGCAUGUCCUUCAGUAACUGAAGAUUUUUCCUGCUUUUUUCUCCAGGUCUCUGUUUGGUAAAAUCCUUCUUACUUGUGGUCCUUGUGAUUACAGAUGAACGACUGCUGCUGUUUCCUUCUUCAUCAAGAGUCUUCUUGUUACCUUUUAGUUCCUUCUGCUUAUCUGUGCUUUGUUUCUCCAGCUGGCAAAUAAUCAAAGUAAGGAAAAUAAUGAAUUCAAUAAAAACAUUUUCUUUU